rnacentral:lncRNA from 1 species
UUCAAAUUUCGGACAAAUUGUAUUAAUUUAUUUAUUUACCCUCUUACUUAUCAGCUUAUUAAUUUACUUUUUUUUUUCUUAAUUUAAAAGUCAUCAAUAUUUAAUACCAAACGUCAUGAAAAAGGCAAACAAGAAAAAACAAAAAAAAACACUGUUUAUUAGUGAGCAUCUCUUAGGCCAACGACCUUCAUUAAACAAAAGGAAAAUUACUCUUAAUGUUCAAGAAAAUUUCAAAUAUUCAAACAAGUUUUUAAUAACAAUCUAGUUACUCGUUGAAUAAAAGAAAAUGGCAAGUGCCAACACCCAUAGAACAGCUUUAUGAAUUUUAAACUGUAUAGCUUUGCAGG